GGGGGUAUGGCGAAAUUGGUAGACGCUGCGGACUUGGCUUUAAAGACCGUGAGGGUUCAAGUCCCUCUACCCCCA
rnacentral:tRNA from 1 species